GAUGAACGCUAGCUACAGGCUUAACACAUGCAAGUCGAGGGACCGGCGCACGGGUGAGUAACACGUAUCCAACCUGCCCUUUACUCGGGGAUAGCCUUUCGAAAGAAAGAUUAAUACCCGAUAUAAAGGAUGGGGAUGCGUUCCAUUCGGUUGUUGGUGAGGUAACGGCUCACCCAGCCUUCGAUGGAUAGGGGUUAUGAGAGGAAGGUCACCCACAAUGGAACUGAGACCCGGGCCAAAAUCCUAGGGGCGGCAGCAGUGAGGACUAUUGGGCAAUUGGCGGUAGCCUGAACCAGCCAAGUAGCGUGAAGGAUGAAGGCUUAUGGGUCGUAAACUUCUUUUAUAUAAGAAUAGGUAUUAUAUGAAUAAGGAUCGGCUAACUCCGUGCCAGCCGCCGCGGUAAUAC
rnacentral:rRNA from 1 species